GGUUUGGUGGUGUAGUGGUUAUCACGUCUGUCUCACACCAGUAUUCUGCGGCGCUGGCCCCCGGUUCGAUACCAGGUCGAAACA